CAUAGGUUUGAGGAUGGGAACCUGGGGAACUGAAACAUCUAAGUACCCAGAGGAAAAGAAAUUAUUCCCCCAGUAGUGGCGAGCGAACGGGGAAAAGCCCAAACCGCUUCUGCUUGCAGAAGCGGGGUUGUAGGACCGGCAAUACGGAAGUUACAAAAUAAUCAGUUAGCGGAAAGGUGUGGGAAAGCCUGCCAAAGAGGGUGAUAGCCCCGUAUGCGAAAACUGAUUAUCUUCCGCCGUGUUCCUGAGUACUGCCGUGCACGCUAAUACGGCAGGAAUCUAGGGAGUCCACUCUCUAAGGCUAAAUACACUUGGCGACCGAUAGUGAACUAGUACCGUGAGGGAAAGGUGAAAAGUACCCCCUCGUUAGGGGUAGUGAAUAGAACCUGAAACCAUAAGCUUACAAGCAGUUGGAGGCGUAACAGCAAGUUGAGCCCCCUAGAAAUAGGGACGUUCCUUGCUAUGCCUGACAGCGUGCCUCUUGGAGAAUGAGCCUGCGAGUUAAUCUCAGUGGCGAGGUUAAGGGAGUAACACCCG
rnacentral:rRNA from 1 species